rnacentral:rRNA from 1 species
GACGAACGCUGGCGGCGUGCCUAAUACAUGCAAGUAGAACGCACAGUUUAUACCGUAGCUUGCUACACCAUAGACUGUGAGUUGCGAACGGGUGAGUAACGCGUAGGUAACCUGCCUGGUAGCGGGGGAUAACUAUUGGAAACGAUAGCUAAUACCGCAUAAUAUUAAUUAUUGCAUGAUAAUUAAUUGAAAGGUGCAAUUGCACCACUACCAGAUGGACCUGCGUUGUAUUAGCUAGUAGGUGAGGUAACGGCUCACCUAGGCGACGAUACAUAGCCGAACUGAGAGGGUGAUCGGCCACACUGGGACUGAGACACGGCCCAGACUCCUACGGGAGGCAGCAGUAGGGAAUCUUCGGCAAUGGACGAAAGUCUGACCGAGCAACGCCGCGUGAGUGAAGAAGGUUUUCGGAUCGUAAAGCUCUGUUGUAAGAGAGGAACGGGUGUGAGAGUGGAAAGUUCACACUGUGACGGUAUCUGACCAGAAAGGGACGGCUAACUACGUG